GGAGAGACCAUUCCCAGGAAUUCCUGGGAGGCAUUUUCAGGGCUGAAUCUUGGUGUCUGGGAGGCUUUUAUGGAGUUGGGCAGGAGGAACCCCCAACACAAUGUGCUCAUCGCUUGUUUUUCCCCAAACCAGGAUUUCCCAAUCCUAUCCCUUGGCUCGAUGGAGGAGGAGGAGGCUAUGAGGAAGAGGAAGAUUCCCCAGGAGCCCCAGGAAGGGAGCAGAGGACAGAGACCAGGAAGGAUAAAUCCCUGUGCCAGAACGCCAUGGAAGAGGCCGUUUGGAGCGGCUCCACGGUGCAGGAAUCCAACGGGGAGAAAAAGCCCCAGAGAUCCCACACGAGGAGGGGCUGCAAAUGCAGAUCCCGGGGAUCCCAGAAGGAAAGACCCAGCCUGGGACAGGGAGGCUGCCAGAGCUCGAACCCAGGGGUCCAUGAGCAGCUUCACGAUGGGGAGAAGCCACACAAGUGCUUGAAAUGUGGGAAGAGCUUCAGGUGGAGAUCCUCCCUGAUUCACCACUGAAUAAUCCACACAGAGGAAUGGCCCUAUGAGUGUGGGCAGUGUGGGAAGAGCUUGAGAUGGAACUCUGAACUGACUGUCCACCAGAGGAGCCACACGGGGGAGAGGCCCUGUGAGUGUGGUAAAUGCAGGAAGAGGUUUCACACCAGCUCCACUCUCCUCAAGCACUAUUGGAUUCACACACAGGAGAGGCCCUUUCACUGCCCUGACUGCGGGAAGGGCUUCAAGCAAAACUGAACCCUCGUCAAGCACCGGCGCAUCUACACCAGGGAGUGGCCCUACGAGUGUCCCGAGUGCAGGAAGAGCUUCUCACCGAGCUCUAACUUGAGCCAACACCAACAGAGGCACCACCAAGGGAAGCCCUGCGAGUGCUCCAACUGCAGGAAGAGCUUCGUGCGCUGCUCCAGCUCCAUCCCCCAUGGCAGGAUCUGUGCUGGAUGAUCCCCAGUGACCCUCGGUGGGCAGAGCCCCGCUGAUACCUGGUGCCACUGAUUCAUGUCAAGAACACACCUGGGUGGGGGUUCCACAUCCUACUGGCUCCCUGUGGGCUGGAUUUUCUUUGCAUUUGUCUUUGUCCUUCCCAAACACCCAAAACCGGGGUACAAAUAAAGAUGUUGAACUAA